AAAAGGACUAGUUUCCUAAUCCUAAAAGUAUAUCCGCCUCCUUCAUAGAUGCUUCCUUUCCCUACUUGACGAUUCAAGCUGUUACUGCGUUGAGAGCUUAAUACUGAGCCUUCUUCACAGAAGCAAGUACUCCUUUCUUUCACACUUUACUGUAACUCAUACUAGCUGAACAUCAAUAUUGAUUGUGUUGCAACUUCAUUCUCUACAAAAUGAGAUAAAGGAUAUAUAUUUGGUCAGCUAAGUUGGAUCCUGUCUUCUAAUUAAAGUUGUAAUAGCCAAGGUGUAAAGAUGUUGAGGAUGAUAACAGGUAGACCAAGUCCAAGUGGAUUUGAAUCAGCUACAACUGCUGAACAAGUUACUGAGGACAUUGAUGGCUCAAAACUUACUGCUAUUGUUACAGGGUCUAAGGCUCAGUCCAGGGCCCCACUAAGCUGUAGAUUUGUCAGACAACAGUGUACAGUCGGUGAGCCUCCCUUACUUUGAAAGGACAUUUUUAUAGCAUUGUUACUUCAUUGUAGUACAGCUCCAACUGGGGGCCUUGUCCCAGCUUUAAGUAAGAUAUUGACUUUGAUGUAUUAGAGAUUUCGCAGACUAAUGGUAGAUAUUGUUGG